rnacentral:rRNA from 1 species
AGAGUUUGAUCCUGGCUCAGAACGAACGCUGGCGGCGUGGAUUAGGCAUGCAAGUCGAACGCGAACGUCACCUUCGGGUGCUAGUAGAGUGGCGAACGGGUGAGUAACGCGUGAGAAACCUGCCUAGAAGUGGGGGAUAACACUCCCAACGGGGUGCUAAUACCGCAUGUGAUGUGAGUGUCUCCUGGCACACACAGGAAAGAUGGCCUCUGCUUGCAAGCUAUCGCUUCUAGAUGGUCUCGCGUCCGAUUAGCUUGUUGGUGAGGUAACGGCCCACCAAGGCGACGAUCGGUAGCUGGUCUGAGAGGAUGGUCAGCCACACUGGGACUGAGAUACGGCCCAGACUCCUACGGGAGGCAGCAGUCGAGAGGCUUUGUCAAUGGGGGAAACCCUGAACAAGCGACGCCGCGUGGGGGAUGACGGCCUUUGGGUUGUAAACCCCUUUCAGCAGGGACGAAUGUUAUGUGGGUGAAUAAUCCACGUAGUUACGGUACCCGCAGAAGAAGCUCCGGCUAACUCCGUGCCAGCAGCCGCGGUAAUACGGGGGGAGCGAGCGUUGUUCGGAAUCACUGGGCGUAAAGGGCGUGUAGGCGGUUCGGUAAGUGAGAUGUGAAAGCCCCCGGCUCACCCGGGGAUGUGCAUUUCAUAUUGCCGGACUUGAGUGCGGAAGAGGAUGGGGGAAUUCCUGGUGUAGCGGUGAAAUGCGUAGAUAUCAGGAGGAACACCGGUGGCGAAGGCGCCCAUCUGGUCCGUUACUGACGCUGAUGCGCGAAAGCUAGGGGAGCGAACGGGAUUAGAUACCCCGGUAGUCCUAGCCGUAAACGGUGGGCACUAGGUGUUGGAGGCAUCGACCCUUCCAGUGCCGCAGCUAACGCAUUAAGUGCCCCGCCUGGGGAGUACGGUCGCAAGACUGAAACUCAAAGGAAUUGACGGGGGCCCGCACAAGCGGUGGAGCAUGUGGUUCAAUUCGACGCAACGCGAAGAACCUUACCCAGGCUUGACAUGCACUGGACCGGUGUAGAAACACACCUUCCCUUCGGGGCUAGUGCACAGGUGCUGCAUGGCUGUCGUCAGCUCGUGUCGUGAGAUGUUGGGUUAAGUCCCGCAACGAGCGCAACCCUUGCCCUUAGUUGCUAACGAAUAAAGUCGAGCACUCUAGGGGGACUGCCGGCGGUAAGCCGGAGGAAGGUGGGGACGACGUCAAGUCCUCAUGGCCCUUACGCCUGGGGCUACACACGUGCUACAAUGACCGACACAGAGGGCUGCGAUACCGCGAGGUGGAGCCAAUCCCAAAAAGUCGGCCUCAGUUCGGAUUGCAGUCUGCAACUCGACUGCAUGAAGGUGGAAUCGCUAGUAAUCGCUGAUCAGCAGGCAGCGGUGAAUACGUUCCCGGGCCUUGUACACACCGCCCGUCAAGCCACGAAAGUUGGCAGUACCCGAAGUCGCCGUGGUAACCCGCAAGGGAGCUAGGCGCCUAAGGUAAGGCUAGCGAUUGGGGCUAAGUCGGAACAAGGUA